rnacentral:rRNA from 1 species
GUUUACAGCCAUGCCAUCCUGAACGUGCCCCAUCUCGUCUGAUCUCGGAAGCUAAACAGGGUCAGGCCUGGUUAGUACUUGGAUAGGAGACUAUCUAGGAAUACCAGGUGCUGUAGGUG